AAAGGGAGACCUAAUUCAGGUAUAAGACGAAAAAAAAGUAGUCCCUACCAAGAAUCAAUCCCAAAAGGUCGGAACGAGGUAUGAGGCUUUCAAACUAGGUUCUGGGUUCAUAAAAGACCUGAAUCAGGAACAAGGGCUAUUAGCUCAGGUGGUUAGAGCGCACCCCUGAUAAGGGUGAGGUCCCUGGUUCGAGUCCAGGAUGGCCCACCUGCACAGGUGGCAAAAACAAGAGAAGCGAGGAAUCAGCACCUUAUUUUAUAUACAUAUAUAAGAGAGAAUGCUGGCUCUGAGUACAGAGUCCAGAGGAACCUUGAAAACUGCAUAGAGCUAGGUGAAAAAGCCAAAAAAGAAGACCGCAAG
rnacentral:tRNA from 1 species